AGGGAAAGGAGAAAUGUUAAGCUACUCAUCUCUACUCUUGGAAAGAUCACAUAAGGCUUAACUCCUUCCGGCGUCACCGAGCGUGGCAGUGUGGGGAGAAGCAGCCGCUGACUUCAACCUUCACAGGCCCUCCCAGGCCAGAGGUAGGAUCUGUCUCCUGUGAGAAUCCUUGACAAAAGGAGUUCCAAGAUAUUUGUGCCAGUCGGAAGCUAAUUCGCAGGGUGUUUGUUGGACUAAGAAUGACUACAACACAGUUACCCUUUAAAAUUCCCCUAAAAUCUUUCAGCAGUUAAAAAGAAACAAUUAACUCAUUUUCUGAACUUAAUUUUCUGAGCUCAGUAAAAGAGUAUUCUUUCUGAUUGAAACUAUUUCAAGUUUCCCUUAAGACUUCCUCUGAACGUGGAACACUUGUGCUUAGAAAAGUGUUUGCCAAUGGGUUAAAGAAGAUCACCUCUAUCACCCAAACGUGGCCGUCUGCCACUGAAGCAGCCUGUGAAGACAGUCUCCACCGAGGAGUCUCAGGCGGGCCCGUAAGGAGACAGCAGACCUGCCAAGGAGCUGCGUGAGGGCCCUGAGAUGACGCCGCCUCGGCCACGUGGGCAGAACUGCGGCCAAAAGGCGGUCGUGUGGGAGCACAGCUCCAAAGGCUGGGAACCGCUAGGACCCCUGGGCAGGCAGCCGAGGCCAUAGGGGGCUCACGGGGGGUCUUGCUCAGGACCUCUUAGUCAGAAUAGCAAGCACAAGACCCCUUUUGUCUGGCACAGUGAGGGAGGCACCCACGGGGAGGGCUGGGCUUUUUCACCGUGUGGAUGCACAGAGCUUUUGAACACCCUGAGUAAAGUGAUCUUUAAAUAGGAUAGAAAUAAAGUCAGAAAAAUGAACAUCAGGAGAGAGGCAUGUCAAGGAGAAGUAUCUAGUUUUAGGAGCCCAUGCAAUAUUUAGAAUGAAUAACAUUAACGUGAAAAUAAACUUUGGCAGGAAAAGAGACCAGAAGGAAAGGAACUUGAAAAUAACCCCUCUAGUUUCCUGGCAGUCUAAAAGAGGAAUUGGACUGACAGUAAAUAGAAUCACAGCCCAGAUCCCAGCAAGUUUUGUGGUUUGUUGGAAAUGACCUACUUAUCAAACUAGAAAAUUGAAAGAUUGCUUCCAUGGGCUGACGUGUGUUCUUUUGUAGAUCUGAGUCACUGCCCUGAGUAGGUACGAGCAUCUGGCCAGUUGGUAAUGGCAACAAUAGUAAUGGUACUAGUAAUAAUAAUGUCAUUGCUGAGUAAUGAACACUUUAGAAAUGUUGGCUUAUUUAAUCCAAGCAACAUAGUUUUACGAGGUAGUUUUUCAAGUGGGGGAACUGAGGUUCGAAAAGAUUAGGGAACUUGGCCAGGAUCACACAGCUGGUGAACAGUGGAGCUGAGACUGGGAAGCAAGACAAAGCCCUCGUAGCUGAGAGUCGUUUCUUCCUCCUGAGUCAGGAGAAUCUAAAAUGAUAAUA